GGUGGGGGGAAGGUCAUUCGAUGGAGUUGCUGAGCCCAAAGAGACAUAUCCAAGAGGCACCUGAGACACAUUGGGAAUCUUCACUGUGGAAAAUUCACGUGACUGGACACACCCAGCAAGGCCCUGCAGUCGCCAUGGUGAAGCCACGAGGACCAUUUGGCCAGCACGGUGGAUGUGGACUAGCUGCGGUCCAGGACCCUCAGCUGCUGACCGCCCUGCAUGGUGGACACAGCACUGAGGGCCGGCGCUGUCAGGCCCAUGUCACCACAAACCAGCAGUAUGUCUUCCACACUUGAUCCUCACCAGCAUGCCCGAUACAGGUACGGGAGGGAACAAGAUGCCGGUCUCCCCAUGUGAGGUCUCAGCAGCCCUGUCCACUGCUGCUGGGGUUAGGUGUCUCUGAGUGGGUGCCUCCCCCGCCAUUUCCCACAUUCAGGUCCUCCACUGAGCCACUUGCCAUGGGAGGCAAUGACAGUGCCACACAGGCCUUGUGGGCCACUUCUGCCUUACCUUUGGGCAUUCCUCCCUGUCUGUUCAUGUGUCUAUGAACACAGGAAUAAGGAAACCUGCCAAGGCAAGAACAAGACAAAGAGCUCAGAAAGAGCUGGCUCAGAGUCCAGUCAUCCACGGAGGGACAGUGCAAGCUCACAUUCCUGUUGUAUGGAAAGAUUAGAAAAUAAACAAGUGAAAGGGCCACCAGCACUAGGAAACAUCGAGGAAUAAAAGAGAACAAAGUUACAAAUUGAAUCCAAUUAGCUUUGGAAAUGUUUAAAACAUACUGAAGAGCCAGCUGAAGGGCGUGUAGGAUGCGGCCUGAAGUGUAGGGCUUUUUGUACCGUCUUCCUGACAACUGCAGAGCAUUCAAUGGUCAUGCAUGUCCCAGAUGCGAGGACCGUCCUAAGAGGCUUUGGAAGAGGGGUGAGAGUUCAUGCAAUGCCACAUACAUGGGAGAGAAAGAAGCUUCAAUGCCCAAUGGAAUGAGGCCCACAACGUGUGACUGUCUAGAGCUUCCAGCUGUCCAGAUGUUAGAGGCCACAACACCUGACUAGCUGGAGCCCAAAGCAUCUACCUGAACCAGGACCACAGUGUCUAACAGUCUGGAGCAUGCCCACAGCAUCCAUCACCCAGAACCCAUUGCAUCCAGCUGUCUAGAGAUCAUGGUGUCCAAUUAUCCAGAGCACACAGCUUCUGCUUGCCUUGUUCCAACUGCCCAAAGCCCACAGUGUCCCUCUGUCCAAGCCUACACUGUCAACUGGCCAGAGCCUACAGCUUCUGACUAUCUUGUUUACUGAAGGGAGUCUGGGUCCCAUCAUGAUGAAACCCAGAUCUAACAUCUCUUCCAAUCCCUGAUCUCUCCACGAGGGUACUUAUAUGUUCUUGAAUAAUUAGCUCACCACAUGAGUUUUCCUAAAGAAGUUGUUCUUCCCCAUGUGUUCACUAGUCUCCUGGAGAAGGAAGCCCAUAGCCAGUUGGGAAGCUGCAGGCAGAAGGAACUCGGUCCCUGAAGGGCUGCAUAGAAUGAGGAAUUUUCAGGAGACAUCAGGGCUGGGUGACCCCCGAGGUCAGCUGGACUCAGCAUGGGCCACCCUGAAAUGUGAUCCACCAAGGAGACUACUUGGAAGAUGUGGACAGCAGCCAUUGAAGACCAUCUGUGGGGUAUGAACUGGAACCAGAGGAUGGCCCAUAGAGGACAUUAAACAACAUGGGGUUGGAACUCUGCACAGCUCACAUCCAAGGCCUGCUUGAACAGAAUUGACCGGCAAUGUCUUCAGGAGCAAAGGUCUCUGGAUCACCACUGUUACCACUCUAUGGUCAUGACACUGGAAAAGGAUUGAGACUGUGGGGUGUGGGGACGGCUAUGUCAGGCUCUCUUGUGAAGCAUCCAGCCUGAAGUGUGAGACAAAGGUUCCUGGGAUCCCGUGUCUUCAGCCAUGACCAAGUCACCUUGCUUCCACCCCUCCUCAUGCACCUCUGUUUCUGUAUUUUCAAGGCCACUUUCCCCCAAAGCCCAGGAUCAUCCCUGCUUGAGGCCCGGGGUCCUUGCUGCCAGAACACUGCCCUUCUGGAAAGUAAGCUGGGUUCUGAUGUCUCCUUAGACAUCUGGAUAGUGGAAGAGCCUUAGGUCUCCUACUAAAUUUCUGAGGAGAGGAGAAAGAGAAGCUGGAAUAGCAGAGUGCCAGGGCGUACCAGCUUAUUUCUUCACAUGCAGUGACCUCACACAGGGAGCCAUGUUGCUUCCCUCUCAGCCCAGGGACAGUGACACAGGUUCAUUUGGAUUACAAAUUGCCAUUGUUGGAGAGGAAGGUGGGAUCUGGUUCAGAAAAUGUUGUCUAUAGCCAAGGACGGAGGAUCACAAGCCAGGGAGCAGUGUUCCUGCAGCUUCAAGUUUAAGUUCCAUAAAUGAAGUGCCUGGAUGGCGACACAGGAAAUUGACGUGUGCAUCAAGUACGAAGUCAAAUGCCAUGGAAAGCUAACCAUCGCUGACGGGCAAAAGGGAUGGGAUGGCAUUCGUAUUUGGUGUACAAGUCCGGCAUCACCAAGAGAUGAAAAUCUGGGAAGACUUCGAUGAAAGCUCUGUUCUUACUUCAAAACAACCCAUUUCUUGCGCUUUUCGUUCCACGCAUUCUUGUCCUGAGGGGAAUGGACGCCUCACCCAGCAGCCACGCCCAAAUCCUGAAAUACAAAGACCUGACGUGCCCACAGCUGCUUUUCUAUGCUUAAGGGCGCCAGUCCUGCUUCCGGACCCGGGCCCUGUGGACCUUUGGCGUGGAGGGGCCCUUGCUUGGGAGAGCGGAACCGCGGGCCUGCCUCUGGGUGUCUCAACAACUAUGCUGUUUUGGGCCCUCUGCGGAGCCCCAGGGAGAACUCCGCGCCUCUGGACCCCGUCUUCUCUCCCCGCUGACUGCAGCCUGAGUCUAGAGAGGUGCGGCCAAGCUUAGCGCAAGGCUCUGGGCCUCCUUGGGGUACGCGAGAUAUGGGGCUGGCUCUGUGUUGACCUAAAACCUUUCAACGUCCUCCCCACUGCCCCCAGACUCACUGCUGAAGUCGCUGGGCCAAGGAGAGGCUUGUUCUGGAGGAGGGAGUGCGCCUAAGGUCCGCUGGGCCCCAGCGUC